rnacentral:rRNA from 1 species
UGGCGAACGGGUGAGUAACGCGUGAGGAACCUGCCUCAAAGAGGGGGACAACAGUUGGAAACGACUGCUAAUACCGCAUAAGCCUACGGGUCGGCAUCGACCUGAGGGAAAAGGAGCAAUCCGCUUUGAGAUGGCCUCGCGUCCGAUUAGCUAGUUGGUGAGGUAACGGCCCACCAAGGCGACGAUCGGUAGCCGGACUGAGAGGUUGAACGGCCACAUUGGGACUGAGACACGGCCCAG